UGACAAGGCGAGCCGCGUUUCUCCCCACACGCCCCAAAAGGCGAUGACCCUCCCCAGGCCGCGCUCACGCUGAACCCCUGCUGCUGAGCUGCAGUUCCUGGAGGUGUCCUGUCCUCAAAUGUGGGGACGCGGGGAAAAGAUUAAGAAGGACAUCAACAACGUCAGCCACACUCAGCACAAAGCCAAAUUAUGGCACAUAGAGCUGAGUAAGAAAAUUUCCUUCUACUAUUUUUGAUUCCUCUCUUUAUGUCCCAACCCUAGGGGCAAGCCUAAUGAGGAAGAGGAGCAGGAAAAGAGAAAUGAAGGAUCACGCCUUCCUCUCUCACUGCAGGCAGCCAGCUCACACUGGGGCUGCCCAAGAAUGGGAUACAAUUCAACGUUAAAUAAAAUUCAAUGUUUUAGAUUUUUCCAGGGCUCAGUAUUCUAAUGUGUGUAUUGGGCUGUGUUUGUGACUUAAAAUGACCACAGGACAGACUGUAAAUUACCUUGGGGUGAACUGUAUUCAUCCAAGUCAGGAAAAGAUUACCAUACAAAAUAAACUUUACGGGAUCAAUAAGAACAAAA
rnacentral:sRNA from 1 species